AUUGAACGCUGGCGGCAUGCCUUACACAUGCAAGUCGAACGGCAGCACGGGAGCAAUCCUGGUGGCGAGUGGCGAACGGGUGAGUAAUGUAAUCGGAACGUACCUUUCAGUGGGGGAUAACGUAGCGAAAGUUACGCUAAUACCGCAUAUUCUGUGAGCAGGAAAGCAGGGGAUCGCAAGACCUUGCGCUGAUUGAGCGGCCGAUAUCAGAUUAGCUAGUUGGUGAGGUAAAGGCUCACCAAGGCGACGAUCUGUAGCGGGUCUGAGAGGAUGAUCCGCCACACUGGAACUGAGACACGGUCCAGACUCCUACGGGAGGCAGCAGUGGGGAAUUUUGGACAAUGGGCGCAAGCCUGAUCCAGCCAUGCCGCGUGAGUGAAGAAGGCCUGGUUGUAA
rnacentral:rRNA from 1 species